UGGGGAAUAUUGGACAAUGGGGGCAACCCUGAUCCAGCAAUACCGCGUGUGUGAAGAAGGCCUUCGGGUUGUAAAGCACUUUAGGUUGGGAAGAAGAUGUGUUGUUUAAGAGAUGAUACAUUUGACUGUACCGACAGAAUAAGCACCGGCUAACUCUGUGCCAGCAGCCGCGGUAAUACAGAGGGUGCAAGCGUUAAUCGGAGUUACUGGGCGUAAAGGGCGCGUAGGUGGUUAUGUAAGUGAGACGUGAAAGCCCCGGGCUUAACCUGGGAAAGUCGUCUUAAACUGCAUGGCUAGAGUACUGUAGAGGGUAGUGGAAUUUCCGGUGUAGCGGUGAAAUGCGUAGAGAUCGGAAGGAACACCAGUGGCGAAGGCGGCUACCUGGACAGAUACUGACACUGAGGCGCGAAAGCGUGGGGAGCAAACAGGAUUAGAUACCCCCGUAGUCC
rnacentral:rRNA from 1 species